UCUUCAUAGGUUGUAACAAUAUUCCGGGAAAAAAAAGAGAAAGAAAGGAAAAACGGGAGGUUUUGAGGUGGAGGAUUUGGAAAUCAUCGGAGGGAGAUCGCCGGAGAGAUGACCUUGCUUGGCGUUGUUCAGGCUUGAGAGAGAAUUCUAGCUUUAGAGAGAAACCCAAGGGAGACCAGUUCCAAGAGCAGGACCCUACUAGAUUGCCUGUGCGAGUAUAGAGCCAGUCAGGGUUGUAGCGGGUCCAUUUUCUUUCUAUUGUGUUGGUGUCGUGAACU